AGAAAGAAACGAUGUCGAAAUAUGUGAAAUUUUCAAGAGGAGAGUGGAUCUUAUCGAAGUUUUAGACGUUAGGGCUCGACGAAGAGAGCAACGGGAUGACAAUUUCAGUUUUUCCGAAGAUGAAGUGUGCUAGUAUAUUGCUUGGUGUUGGGUGUUUGGCGAUGUUAGUUUAUGAAAUCGAAGGAGCUUGUGCUGCUAAGGCUAGGGAUCCAAAUAGUUCAACAUGUGAAACAUCUGCAGGUACUUUAGAAGUUGGAGAGUCUAGGAUUUCCUACACUGAAUGUGUGCGGUAUACUUGUAAUAAGAAUGCUUUACAUUUUUGUGGAAUUGUUCCUAGUGCUCUCCAGAUCCCAGGAUGUGUCCUAAAGAGACUGCCCAAUUGUUGUUUCCAGUUUGUGAAAAGGACCAACCCUUCCAGCAUCUGCAUGAAAAAGAUGUGUCCUUAAGGAAUGGAGUAACAUUGCCAAUAAAAUAAUUAUUUUGACUAUGCGUCUAGGUUAAUAUGUUGAAUACACUGAUUUGAUUAUAGUAGGGUAGUUCCAUAUCCU